AACGAACGCUGGCGGCAUGCCUAACACAUGCAAGUCGAACGAGAUCUUCGGGUCUAGUGGCGCACGGGUGCGUAACGCGUGGGAAUCUGCCCUCAGGUUCGGAAUAACCAUUGGAAACGAUGGCUAAUACCGGAUGAUGACGUUAAGUCCAAAGAUUUAUCGCCUGAGGAUGAGCCCGCGUAGGAUUAGCUAGUUGGUGUGGUAAAGGCGCACCAAGGCGACGAUCCUUAGCUGGUCUGAGAGGAUGAUCAGCCACACUGGGACUGAGACACGGCCCAGACUCCUACGGGAGGCAGCAGUGGGGAAUAUUGGACAAUGGGCGAAAGCCUGAUCCAGCAAUGCCGCGUGAGUGAUGAAGGCCUUAGGGUUGUAAAGCUCUUUUACCCGGGAUGAUAAUGACAGUACCGGGAGAAUAGGCUCCGGCUAACUCCGUG
rnacentral:rRNA from 1 species